GAGGUGAGGGCUCUGGGAGUGUGGUGCCAGGAAAAUAACUUCUCACUCAACGUCAACAAAACUAAGGAGAUAAUCGUGGACUUCAGGAAACAGCAGAGGGAAUACCCCCCUAUCCGCAUCGAUGGGACUGCAGUGGAGAAGGUGGAAAGCUUCAAGUUCAUUGGCGUAUACAUCACUGACAAACUGAAAAUGUCCACCCACACAGACAGUGUGGUGAAGAAGAAGCAGGAGAACCUCAGGAGGCUAGAGAAAUGUGUCUUAGCACCUAAAACCCUCAUAAACUUUUACAGAUGCACAAUUGAGAGCAUCCUGUCGGGCUGUAUCAUUGCCUGGUACGCCAACUGCACCGCCCACAACCGCAAAGCUCUCCAGAGGGUGGUGCGGUCUGCCCAAUGCAUUACCAGGGGCAAACUUCCCGCCCUCCUGGACGCUUACAGCACCCAAUGCCAUAAUACGGCAAAAAAAGAUAAUCAAGGACAUCAACCACCCGAGCCACUGCCUGUUCACCCUGCUAUCAUCCAGAGGGCGAGGUCAGUACAGGUGCCUCAAAGCUGAGACCGAGAGACUGAAAAAACAGAUUCUAUCUCAAGGCCAUCCGACUGUUUUAACACCCAUCACUAGCACAUCAGGGGCGGUUGACUGUAGACAUUGAUUAGGAAUCACUGGCCACUUUUAGAAAUGGAUCACUAGCCACUUUAAUAAUGUUCCAUAUCUAGCAUUACUCAUCUCAUAUGUAUAAACUGCACUCCACACUAUUCUACGGUAUCUUAGUCACUUUUAAAUUGUGUUUACAUAUUGCAUCACCCAUUUCAUAUGUAUGCACUGUAUUGUAUUCUAUACUAUACCGCUGUCUGUUAAACAGCCAUCUCCUGCACAUCAGAGGCUGCUGCCUAAAGACAUAGAUUAGGAAUCAUUGGCCACUUUAAGGGAAUGAAACACUAGCCACUUUAAUAUUGUCUCCGUAUCUUGCAUUACUCAUCUCAUAGGUGUAAACUGUACUCUAUACUAUUCUACGGUAUCUUAGUCACUUUGAUUGUUUGUAAAUAUUGCAUCACCCAUCUCAUAUGUAUAUACUGUACUCUAUGCUAUGCCACUUUAUCUUAGUCCAAUGCCGCUCUGACAUACAUGUACAUGUAUAUAUAUUCUUAAUCCAUUCCUUACUUAUAUUUCCGUGUGUUUUGGGUAUAUGUCGUGAAACUGUUAGAUAUUACUUGUUAGGUUAUUACUGCACUGUCGGCGCUAGAAGCACAAGCAUUUCGCUACACCCGCAAUAAUAUCUGCUAAACACAUGUUUGUGACCAAUCAAAUUGGAUUUGAUUUUCAUUUGUUUAUCUGUCAAUACCUUUCAUAGUUUAUUGUGUACAGUUUUGCACGUAUAUCGCCAUUGAGAAUGAGUCGAAGGAUAUCAUCCACAUUGUCACGGUGGAUAAGCGGGAGACACAGAGGAACUCUGUCGUGGUGGAAACGCAGGCUUUUAUUAGGGCAAUUGACGAGCUCCUCUCGGAGGUCAAGUUGAAGGAGAUCUACACUGACGCACAUUAUGCAGAUUUCGGCACUAAUGAGUAAGUGCAUCUCUGUCUAGGUGUAUGUAGGACCUACAUUGACAAGCGAUUGCACAACAUUUGAUCAUUUUCACCUACAUGUUGACAUGUUCAUAAUUAUCCAAGUGUGUUUUUGAGUUUGAACGUGAUUAUUCCAAUCUGUAUUGUCCUACUUCCUUUACAAAUCCAGAGAAAGGAAAGUACAAGGACUCUGUAUUCUUCAUUCCCUUGACAUGUGGCACGCGGCAAAAAUCUGGGCAAGAAAGUAAAUGCGAUAAUGAACACCCAGCUUACCCACUACCUGAGCCAUAACCACAUCCUCUCCAAGUUCCAGUCUGGUUUCCGAAAACGUCACGGCUGCCUAACUGCCACAACCAAGGUUCUCAAUUACAGCUACGCCUCCCUGGACAAAAAGCAUACCUCUCAUCAAUAAUCUCAGACACCAGCCUCUCUGACAGCCCCCUCUGCUGGUUAUCCAACUGCUUCACAAACAAACUGUGGUGAAUGGUCACCUUCCAACAGGACAAUGACCGUAAGCACACAGCCAAGACAACGCAGGAGUGGCUUCGGGACAAGUCUCUGAAUGUCCAUGAGUGACCAAGCCAGAGCCCGGACUUGAACCCGACCGAACACCUCUGGAGAGACCUGAAAAUAACUGUGCAGCAACGCUCAACAUCCAACCUGACAGAGCUUUAGGGGAUCUGCAGAGAAGCAUGGGAGAAACUCCCCAAAUACAAGUGUGCCAAGCUUGUAGCGUCAUACCCAAGAAGUCUUGAGGCUGUAAUCGCUGCUAAAGGUGCUUCAAUGAAGUAUUGAGUAAAGGGUCUGAAUACUUAUGUAAAUGUGAUAUUUGAGUUUUAAUUUCUAAUACAUGAUUUCUAGAAACCUGUUUUUUCUUUGUCAUUAAGAGGUAUUGUGGUAUAGAUUGAUGAGGGGAAAAAACAAUUUAAUCCAUUUUAAAAUAAGGCUGUAUCAUAACAAAAUGUGGGGAAAGUCAAG